rnacentral:rRNA from 1 species
UAGGGAAUCUUCGGCGAUGGACGAAAGUCUGACCGAGCAACGCCGCGUGAGUGAAGAAGGUUUUCGGAUCGUAAAACUCUGUUGGUAGAGAAGAACGUUGGUGAGAGUGGAAAGCUCAUCAAGUGACGGUAACUACCCAGAAAGGGACGGCUAACUACGUGCCAGCAGCCGCGGUAAUACGUAGGUCCCGAGCGUUGUCCGGAUUUAUUGGGCGUAAAGCGAGCGCAGGUGGUUUAUUAAGUCUGGUGUAAAAGGCAGUGGCUCAACCAUUGUAUGCAUUGGAAACUGGUAGACUUGAGUGCAGGAGAGGAGAGUGGAAUUCCAUGUGUAGCGGUGAAAUGCGUAGAUAUAUGGAGGAACACCGGUGGCGAAAGCGGCUCUCUGGCCUGUAACUGACACUGAGGCUCGAAAGCGUGGGGAGCAAACAGGAUUAGAUACCCUGGUAGUCCACGCCGUAAACGAUGAGUGCUAGAUGUAGGGAGCUAUAAGUUCUCUGUAUCGCAGCUAACGCAAUAAGCACUCCGCCUGGGGGAGUACGAC